rnacentral:rRNA from 1 species
AUUGAACGCUGGCGGCAGGCCUAACACAUGCAAGUCGAACGCGUGGCGGACGGGAGUGUAAUGUCGGGGACCCUGCCUUAUGGAGGGGGAUCACUUCGAGAAACGGUAUCUAAUCCCGCAAAACCUCAUAUGUGCCCAGAUGGGAUUAGCGUGUUGGUGGGGUAACGGCUCACCAAGGCGACGAUCCAUAGCUGGUCUGAGAGGAUGACCAGCCACACUGGAACUGAGACACGGUCCAGACUCCUACGGGAGGCAGCAGUGGGGAAUAUUGCACAAUGGGCGCAAGCCUGAUGCAGCCAUGCCGCGUGUAUGAAGAAGGCCUUCGGGUUGUAAAGUACUUUCAGCGGGGAGGCGUUACCCGCAGAAGAAGCACCGGCUAACUCCGUGCCAGCAGCCGCGGUAAUUC